rnacentral:lncRNA from 1 species
CGGCGACGCGCCGCCAUCACCGUCCAGUGACACCUCUCCCACCACGCCGGGUGGAGGCUACACGCCGACGCCGAGCGACACACCGCCCUCACCGUCCAGUGACACCUCUCCAACUACACCGGGUGGAUGCUUCAGUCCCACGCCGUGCGGCACACCACCCUCGCCGUCCAGUGGAACCUCGCCCACCACGCCGGGUGGAGGCUACACGCCGACACCGAGCGACACGCCCCCCUCGCCGUCCAGUGGCACCUCGCCCACCACGCCGGGUGGAGGCUACACGCCGACACCGAGCGACACGCCCCCCUCGCCGUCCAGUGGCACCUCUCCAACUAUACCAGGUGGAUGCUCCAGUCCCACGUCGUGCGGCACGCCACCCUCGCCGUCCAGUGGUACCUCUCCUACCACGCCGGGUGGAGGUUAUAUGCCGACACCGAGAGACACGCCACCCUCGCCGUCCAGUGGCACCUCUCCCACCACGCCGGGUGGAGGCUACACGCCGACGCCGAGCGACACUCCGCCCUCGCCGUCCAGUGGCACCUCUCCCACUACACCGGGUGGAUGCUCUAGUCCAACGCCAUGCGGCACGCCACCUUCGCCGUCCAUUGGUACCUCUCCUACCACGCCGGGUGGAGGCUAUACGCCGACACCGAGCGAGACGCCGCCCUCACCGUCCAGUGGCACCUCUCCCACUACACCGGGUGGAUGCUCUACUCACACGCCAUGUGGCACGCCACCUUCGCCGUCCAUUGGCACCUCUCCGAUCACACCAACACCAGGUGGAAGCUACUACCCACCAACGCCAUCCAUUGGCGACGCACCACCCUCGCCGUCGAGUGACACCUCUCCGACCACGCCGGGUGGAGGAUACAACCCGCCCACACCGUCCACUGGCGGCGCACCACCCUCGCCGUCAAGUGACACCUCUCCGACCACACCGGGCGUAGGUUCCCCGUCGACGCCAUGUG